GAGGUAACCGUGGUGGUGGUGGCCUCGGUGGAACAUGAGAUGCAGACUUUGCUGGGCUGUCUGAUACUGGGCAUCUCUUGAUUGUCCCUUGAUUAUCAUUUUCAGAAGAAUGAGUUUCUUGCGGGAUAAAGAUGGAUUUAGGCUUUGGUGGUAAAGGAGGUGGCACUUUAGGUUUCAUAGUGGCAUGUUUAGCAUCGUCAUCUGCAUCAUCAUCAUCAUCUUCUAAAUGUGCCACAUGUCCCCG
rnacentral:lncRNA from 1 species